UACGAAGGGGGCUAGCGUUGCUCGGAAUCACUGGGCGUAAAGCGCACGUAGGCGGAUCGCUAAGUCAGGGGUGAAAUCCUGGAGCUCAACUCCAGAACUGCCCUUGAUACUGGCGGUCUCGAGUCCGGGAGAGGUGAGUGGAACUGCGAGUGUAGAGGUGAAAUUCGUAGAUAUUCGCAAAGAACACCAGUGGCGAAGGCGGCUCACUGGCCCGAUACUGACGCUGAGGUGCGAAAGCGUGGGGAGCAAACAGGG
rnacentral:rRNA from 1 species